GAUGAACGCUAGCGGCAGGCCUAACGCAUGCAAGUCGAGGGGGAAGUUACUUUCGGGUGACUGAGACCGGCGUACGGGUGCGUAACGCGUAUACAAUCUGCCUUUCACUGGGGGGUAGCCCGAAGAAAUUUGGAUUAAUACCCCAUAGUAUAUAGGGACGGCAUCGUUUUUAUAUUAAAGCUUAGGUGGUGAAAGAUGAGUAUGCGUUCUAUUAGCUAGUUGGAGAGGUAACGGCUCCCCAAGGCGAUGAUAGAUAGGGGUUCUGAGGGGGAUGUCCCCCACACUUGUACUGCGAUACGGACCCGACUCCUACGGGACGCAGCAGUGUGGAAUAUUGGACAAUGGUCGGUAGACUGAUCCAGCCAUGCCGCGUGAAGGAUGAUGGUCUUAUGGAUUGUAAACUGCUUUUGUAAGGGAAGAAUAAGGGCUACGCGUAGUUUGAUGACGGUACCUUACGAAUAAGCAUCGGCUAACUACGUG
rnacentral:rRNA from 1 species